UACGGGGGGGGUAAGGCGUUGUUCGGAAUUACUGGGCGUAAAGGGCGCGUAGGCGGCCUUCUAAGUCGAACGUGAAAUCCCUGGGCUCAACCCAGGAACUGCGUCCGAUACUGGAAGGCUUGAAUCCGGGAGAGGGAUGCGGAAUUCCAGGUGUAGCGGUGAAAUGCGUAGAUAUCUGGAGGAACACCGGUGGCGAAGGCGGCAUCCUGGACCGGCAUUGACGCUGAGGCGCGAAAGCUAGGGGAGCAAACGGGG
rnacentral:rRNA from 1 species